rnacentral:misc_RNA from 1 species
AUUGAAAUUGAGUAGAAAAGAAAAAAAAUGAAUUAAAUAAGAAAUUAUGACAUAACAUGAUGUCAUUAGUGUGCCUCCACCCAAUCACAUUGUGACACCUCAUUCUAAACCCAAUUCAAGAAGUCAAAUGGGCAGAAAAUGAACCAAAAUUUUCUGUCUUCCCUUACCUCUAUCCCGUUGAACCAAGUCCCCAAACCCCUCUCCACCAUUAAAGCUCCCAUAAGCUUUGAUCCCACUUCAAUUCACCUAAAAAUCUCACCCUCUCUUCUCAAAAAAUCUCCCUUACCACUAGAGCAAGAAUUGGGCAGCAAUUAGAAGAAGAGA